UUUCCGUAGGUGAACCUGCGGAAGGAUCAUUAUUGAAACUUCAUCCGGGGCGCCGCGGCCCUCAGCACCGGUGGAAACGCCGUGCUGCAGGGGCCGCGCGUGCUCUCGUCCAAACCAAACCCCUGUGAACCUUACGGGAUGGCCCGGGUUAGCGCCCGGUGCCGUUCCGCUUUAUACAAACACUUAUCAAAGAAUGAACUGAAGGCGGUCUGACCGCUGAAUAACAAACUGAAACAACUUUCAACAACGGAUCUCUUGGCUCUC
rnacentral:misc_RNA from 1 species